CCUACGGGAGGCAGCAGUGAGGAAUAUUGGUCAAUGGCCGAGAGGCUGAACCAGCAAAGUCGCGUGAGGGAAGAAUGUCCUAUGGAUUGUAAACUUCUUUUGUCAGGGAGCAAAGUCACCCACGUGUGGGUGUUGGAGAGUACCUGACGAAAAAGCAUCGGCUAACUCCGUGCCAGCCGCCGCGGUAAUACGGGGGAUGCGAGCGUUAUCCGGAUUUAUUGGGUUAAAGGGGUGCGUCGGCGGGUUAUCAAGUCAGCGGGAAAGUCGUGGAGCUAAACUCCAUCCAGCCGUUGAAACUGAUGAUCUUGAGUGGGCGAGAAGUAUGCGGAAUGCGAGGUGUAGCGGUGAAAUGCAUAGAUAUCACGCAGAACUCCGAUUGCGAAGGCAGCAUACCGGCGCCCGACUGACGCUGAAGCACGAAAGCGUGGGUAUCGAACAGGAUUAGAUACCCUUGUAGUC
rnacentral:rRNA from 1 species